GCGAAAGUGGCUCAGUUGGUGGAGCACUGGCUUCCCAAGCCGGGGGUCGCGGGUUCGAGUCCCGUCUUUCGCUCCA
rnacentral:tRNA from 1 species